rnacentral:lncRNA from 1 species
GGGACCCCCUUCCCUUGUGGGGGGACAACUCGGUAGAAAUACCGAGACGCGUGUGGCGUGAAUCCGAUUAGCCGGCCCAACGUACAUAAGCUGGAGCCGUUUAGCGAAUUUCUCACUUUCUAAACUCAAUGAUCGUUUUAUCCGAGCGGGGGGUCUAAAUUAGAUAUAAGGCAGAUAGAAUUUAGCCGUGCAUCUUUUUAGAGAGCCAAGCUCGCCUGUUCUAAUCGAAUCUUUUAGUCAAACGAUCGUAGUGCCAGUGCACGCCUGAGAAUUACGUGCCCUUCGCUGGAAGAAACAUUAUUCAUGCACUUGUCUACAUUCGAGAAAUGUGUUGUGUUAUGAACUCAGAGAACUGAAACCUGUGCUGUGAAGAUAGAGAGUCUCACGACUCAGCAACCCGAGAACACACCAUAUCAGAGCCUCUAACAGCUGUGGAUCUUUCAGCUUGAACAAGUCGUAUUUACUAUAAUAUUGUCAUCAAAUUUACUUUGACAACCGCGAUAUCUGUGCAGACUCAACCUUGACACAACCACCAUGGAUUACCCCUAUCUCAAUCAGCCUAGCUUCGAUGCCAACUGUGGAUUGCCUCCAAUGGAUGCGGGUUUAGGAAACCCUUGCAACAUUCCGUGCUCUUAUCCGGAUUCUGCAAAUCCUUUCUCCCAGAUGGGACAAGGCUACGGCAGGUACAACGGUGUGAGAUCUUUUCCUCCGAUGGGUUCGAACCCGCCUGGUCUAGGUCCAGGAGGAUCUUGCAGCAUGGUUCCUAGACCACGUGAUCAUCAUCCUCAGCCACCUGUCUUCGGUGGAGGUAAGUUCUCUACUUUUGUUGUAUAUUAUGUUUGAAUCACACAAGUUGUCCAUUUGUUUGCUUCCACGGACGGAGAAAGUGUGACUGUGAAAAAGCAGCUCUAAGGCUAAAAACAAUGGAAUCCAGUUUUUGGGGAUUAAUUCUGCACGGAACAUCAAUCCGGGGUCUGUGGUGUGGCGGUUAGGCGCUUCGCCGUCGUUCGCAGGAGACCCUAAUUUGAUUCCUGUGUAGGAAGGAUUUUUGUCGAGAUUUUCGGUAUUUCAAUUGAGACGCAAAAUGCACCUGCACAAACAAACACAUAAAAGAAAAAAGCACACAAACACAACAAAACAAAAACAAAAAACAAAUAAAUAAACAAAUAAACAGACAAGCAAACACAAAAAAACGCGGACAUAAUAAACGUGUUUCUGACAAAGUACUCGUGUGACUGAUAACAAUACAUUUGGGGUUUUGGGAUAAAUAGGAAACAUGAGGCACUUUCGCUAGAACAAAGCUUGAAAUUUACCACAAAAGCAAUAUUAUAUAUUAUGCUAUCAGAUUGCAUCAUGUUUUGGAAUAUCUAACUCAAGAAUCCCACAUCUGUUAGCAGAUUUUUUUUUGACUAAUUCAAUAAACUUGGAAUGGAAACAAGAAAGAAAUUUUAGUCUAAGAUUUCCCUAGGCGCAAAGCCACUGACUAUGGACACAGACGCAAUUUAUUUCGUAAAUCUGUAAUCUUCAUAAUUAAUGUUUUAUAUAUCUUAAUGUGCGAAUUCGUCAGAAUUGUUUUCUGUCGCUUGAUUUUCACAGUGCCAUCCUUUCAGAGAUAAUAAUAAUUGCAUUUAUAUAGCGCAUAUCCACGCUCUGCAGCAUGCUCUGUACGCUUUACUAAGUCUGCUAUUAUCCCAGUAGACCGUAAAACACUCAGAAACAUUCCCGUUCUCCAGGGAAGCAUACAGUACAAGCUGCGAAUGUCACCAACUCAAACAAAAAUAAACUGACAAGAUAUUUCACUUCUGUCGUUGGGUAUCCAUUUCCACUUGGGUGAAGUGAAGAAAAUUCUUGCAAAGUGCUUUUCCUAAAGACACAACGUCGGGGCCCUGACGGGAUUCGAAUUCACUACCUUACGGUUGCGAGUCCGAGAGCCUAACCACAAGGCCACUGACGUAGGGGAGUAUGGAUAGCAGUAAUAGAUUAACCGAAAUACCCACCAGCAAGAGGUACAACCCCUCAACACUACAUCAGUACACUAAUGUGUCUUUGCUGGUUUCUCACGCUCACAACUGGCGUAUGCGGUGUAUCGGUUAGGCGCUUUGCUGUAGCACUCAGGUACCCUAGUUCGAUCCCGAGGUGGCAUGUUGUAUUCCUCUGAGCCCAGGUUGACCCUGGCAGGCAGGAUAGAAACCCCGUCCCCUAAAUGAUCCAAAUAGUAUUGAUGGGGACGUAAAAACACCUACAUAAACAAUUCACGGACACUUUCACCAAAGUUGUGCGGUCACUGCCUUCUUCUCUUCCUUUUCCUUUUCUCCAACCACUGGGCCAAAAUGUCGCAAUCUCUGAAAGACGUAUUCGUAUGUAAUAGGUUGUAAAAUUGAAGCAAAGAAAUAUAUUAUGUAUAAGAUGCAAGCAGAUAAACUUUAAAUAACUACUAAAAUCAACUGUAAUUUAGUUUAUUAUACAUACGGAGUGGGCACUUACAUUAAACACAGCUCUAUUUUGACAGAAAAAAAA